rnacentral:misc_RNA from 1 species
GCUCCGUAGGUGAACCUGCGGAGGGAUCAUUACAGAGUUCUCGCCCUCGCGGGUAGAUCUCCCACCCACUGUUAUCGUUACUGUGUUGCUUUGGCGGGCCGCCGGGCCCCGCUCGGCCGCCGGCUCCGGCUGGCGCGCGCCCGCCAGAGGCCCAGCAAACUCUGAAUGUUAGUGUCGUCUGAGUACUAUAUAAUAGUUAAAACUUUCAACAACGGAUCUCUUGGUUCUG